rnacentral:rRNA from 1 species
UACGGAGGGUGCAGCGUUAAUCGGAAUUACUGGGCGUAAAGCGCACGCAGGCGGUUUGUUAAGCUAGAUGUGAAAGCCCCGGGCUCAACCUGGGAUGGUCAUUUAGAACUGGCAGACUAGAGUCUUGGAGAGGGGAGUGGAAUUCCAGGUGUAGCGGUGAAAUGCGUAGAUAUCUGGAGGAACAUCAGUGGCGAAGGCGACUCCCUGGCCAAAGACUGACGCUCAUGUGCGAAAGUGUGGGUAGCGAACAGG